CAUCUUCAAGUGAUCUUCAUUUGGUGAGUACCGUUUUUUCCAAUAACUAUAACAACAAUAAUAAUAAUAGGCCCUGCUUUAUACAUACAUUUAUUUCUUACUGUAAAGGUGCCAUAACUAUGCAUAACAUUAGAUAGACCAUGAAUAUUAUAGUUUUGUUGAAGCAGCAAAAAAUUAGAUAUUCAAAAUAUUCAGUAUACAUGUACCUCUUACUAACAUUUUAAGUUUGACAGAGACAUAAGCAUGUUGUGAUUAGAACAUAAGCUGUACAGAACCGGGUGAAUUAAUGUGUGUUUGUGUGUGCCUUUCCCAAGCCGUUGCUUUACUCAAAUACUGACUGCUCAUGUUUUUGUUUGUGUGUUCUGAUGGAAGUAUAUCUAUGUUCCACAGAGGUCCAGGAGCAGCGCUUAUUCUCAGCUUUGCUGAUUAAGUGUGUCGUGCAGCUAGAGCUGAUCCAGACUAUCGAUAACACCAGGUUUUUCCUGCCACCAGUAGGACAGAAGAUGCUGAGAAGUAGCUGCUGCUCAGAAUGGGAUGCUGCAUAUGCAGCAGACGUCCCAGUGGACACCAAGAGCCAAUUCAAGUAUCGCUACCUGACCAGCUCUUCAAGCUGCUGGAGUUGCACCACUUCGCCAAGGCUUUCAACUCCAACAACAAGCAGAGGACCUUACUGUGGAAAGCAGGUUUCAAAGGAAAGCCGAGCCAAAGCAGGAGACCAGCAGUCUGACAUGGAGCCUGCGCAUCCUGUUUCUUAUGUACACAAACAAGAUUAGCCAGAAUGCCUGGGAGGAGGUCCAGAGAUGACUGCUCAAGUCAAGGCUCAUGUGUCCAGAUACUACCCUCUGCUGAGUGAGAUCAUGCAGUUCGACCUGAUCCCUGAGCGCCGGGCUGUUCUAAGAAAGUUUUAUCUGCAAAUCGGCCUCGUGAUUCACAUCUC
rnacentral:lncRNA from 1 species